UUCGCAAUGCCCGAAAGGGUGACGAAGCGACGCCGCGUGGGUGAGGAAGGCCUUCGGGUUGUAAAAUCCUGUCAGGAGUUAAGAAAUGUAAGUUUGAGAAUACCAAAUUUACUUGACAAAAGCUCCAAAGGAAGCCACGGCUAACUCUGUGCCAGCAGCCGCGGUAAUACAGAGGUGGCGAGCGUUGUUCGGAAUUAUUGGGCGUAAAGAGCACGUAGGUGGACUUGUAAGUCAGAUGUGAAAGCCUUCUGUUCAACGGAAGAAUUGCAUCUGAAACUGCUAAUCUUGAGUAUAGGAGGGGA
rnacentral:rRNA from 1 species